rnacentral:tRNA from 1 species
AGUCUUAUAUUCAAUAAUGAUUUUGGAUUGCAAAUCUGAAGGUGGGGUGUAGGCUCCUAAGGCUU